AAGAAACCAGAUUGUUUCUUUCUAAAUUCGGGUAGCCAUCUUCUUCCUCCACCAUUGAAGAGCUUCUCUCUCUCUCAUGCCAAACCUUACCUUUUCACCAUAAAACCCUUAACUUUCUUCACUAAACCUCUUCCUUGCACCUUAAAUAACAUCUAGCUAGCAAAAAGAAGAAGGAAAAAGGGAGAUUUAGGACUUGGAAGAGAGAUCAAUUGAGGUUAGUGACCAAUCUCCUCCCUUUCUUGUUUAAUUUAUGUUUAAU
rnacentral:misc_RNA from 1 species